rnacentral:misc_RNA from 1 species
GUCAACUCCCGUGCUCGGUCCCUCAGCCAUGUGGCCAUUGUUCUACCCAUAGUUGCCACUUUGGUGACUGCCCACCCUGUACAGUUCCAAUAGCCAAGGAGUGCAUCGGUGGACAUGUAGUUCUAAGGAACAUUCCUUGCGGUUCAAGGGACAUCAGAUGCAACAAGCUAUGUGGGAAAACUAGGCAGUGUGGGAUGCAUGCCUGCAACAGAACUUGUCAUCCGC